rnacentral:rRNA from 1 species
UACGUAGGUGGCAAGCGUUUGUCCGGAUUUACUGGGCGUAAAGGGUGUGUAGGCGGUUUUCUAAGUUUGGUGUGAAAUCUCCCGGCUCAACCGGGAGGGUGCGCCGAAAACUGGGAGACUAGAGUGCGGGAUGGGAGAGUAGAAUUCCUGGUGUAGCGGUGAAAUGCGUAGAUAUCAGGAGGAAUACCGGUGGUGUAGACGGCUCUCUGGACCGCCACUGACGCUGAGACACGAAAAGCGUGGGUAGCAAACAGG